AUUGAACGCUGGCGGCAGGCCUAACACAUGCAAGUCGAACGAGUGGCGGACGGGUUAGUAAUGUCUGGGAAACUGCCCGAUGGAGGGGGAUAACUACUGGAAACGGUAGCUACUACCGCAUACCAUCGGAUGUGCCCAGAUGGGAUUCGCUAGUAGGUGGGGUAAAGGCUCACCAAGGCGACGAUCCCUAGCUGGUCUGAGAGGAUGACCAGUCACACUGGAACUGAGACACGGUCCAGACGCCUACGGGAGGCAGCAGUGGGGAAUAUUGGACAAUGGGCGAAAGCCUGAUGCAGCCAUGCCGCGUGUAUGAAGAAGGCCUUCGGGUUGUAAAGUACUUUCAGCGAGGAGGCGUUACUCGCAGAAGAAGCACCGGCUAACUCCGUGCCAGCAGCCGCGGUAAUUC
rnacentral:rRNA from 1 species